GCUGCUUGAAUGGUUUCAGUGUGGGCUCAUUUCCCAUUACUCAAAAGUUCGAUUCUUUUAAGCGGCC
rnacentral:tRNA from 15 species